UUUAGAAGUUACCAAAGAGGUCAGGGGUAAAAAGAAAACAAAAAAUAGUAAAGAAAGAAAAGAAAAGCAGGAAAUGAGAGAGGAAGGGAAGUCUCAAAGCAGCAAAAAUCUACUCUCCCUUCGCCAAUCAAGCCUGCCCUCCAUCUAUAAACAAAAGCCUAGCAAACAAGCAGGUGAAGGACAAAGGGAUCAGGAGAAAAGACUUCCCUGGUGGUCCAGUGAUUAAGACUCUAUGUUUCCAAUAUAAGGGGCAUGGGUUUGAUCCCUGGUCAGGGAACUAAGAUCCCACAUGCCAUGCAGCACAGUGGAGAAAGCUGUUUUUUGUUUGUUUGUUUGUUUGUUUUUUAAUCUAGUUAAAGAAAAGAGGCAAGCUAAAAAUUGCUAGAAAAUACUGGGGACCAAAGAAAGAGAACACAAGAAAGGGUGAGAAUGAAACUUCAGGGUGAAUGCUUGUACAGCUAAAGCAAAUGGGCAGAAAAAGCCAACUAAAGAAAGUAAGAAAUAGGGAGGUAAUGUUAAAAAUCAAAAAAUAUGAAACGAGACAAAAAUGGUCAUGGUGCUUGAGCUGGUGGGGCUGAGAAGACAUUGUUUUCUAGGUGUCUUGCUGGGAAAGAGGAUAAGAUGGCCCAGAAAUGAAAGCAGGCAGGAGUGGUGGAAGACAGCAAGCAUCAGGUGAAAGGGCCGCAUGACAAGACAGUCAGCCAAGGGGUACGUCCCAGACACUGGCUGCAGAAUAAUGUCCUGGAGAGGUUCGUCUCCACUGCUUCUCUGUCCGUGGGAUUCUCCAGGCAAGAAUACUGAAGUGUGUUGCCAUGCCCUCCUCCAGGGGAUCUUCCCGACCCAGGGAUCUAACCCACAUCUCCUGAUGGACUGAGCCUGAUGUCCAUGGGGUGUCAGACACGACUGAGUGACUAACCCUUUCACUUUCAGCAGGAAUUCUAGCUUCUUAGCUGUGAUGUGCUUCAGAGGAGGAUGCCUAUUUCUGAUUUAGGAAAUCAUUAUUCUAGGGCAGUGAACAAUGGUGGCCUAAAGAGUUAAUCCUCCAAAUAUUUUUCACAUUCCCAGGAAUCAUUUAUUGAGCCAAAAGUACCUGGCUUAAUAUUUAUUGAACACUUUGUUUCUGAAGGGGAAUGGGAGGGAGAAGAGUGUCAUAUUUGAAUCUAUUUCCACCAUCAAGCUUUACCCAAGUAUCCAGUGCUUGACUCUCUAACUGCCAGGCUUAGAGCCUACCCAUGAAAUUCCAAAUCCCGUCUCUUGUGGGUUUGGACUCGCUCGUUUAUUUUUACUGUGCUUCGCUCAUAAUAACUUAUGUUUGUAAUUCAGCAACCUGAGGAAUUGUUUUUAUGGCACGUUUGGAUCUUGCAGUCACUCACACGUUUCAAGGUCCAUUGCAGGAAAUGAGUUUGACACAGCAUGUUAACAGUGAAUUAUUCAUUCUUACCUGCAGCAUUCAGAGCAACCCGGGAAGGCUUCCCAGUUGUUGAGUCAAAGUUAUGUACCCGUAGUGCAAACUCCAGUGGACAGUUGUAAAGAUGGCAAACCUUACUUUGAUACAAUGCCACAGCACCUCCAUUAGUGCCCUGGUUAAAAUGCAAACAUCUGGUUGCUUUUAUGGCCCAUGUGUUCCUUAAGACGGUCUAUUUCUUGAUGACGUCAGUCAUUGGAAUCAAAUGACUAUUUUUAAAGACUCUUUUAGUGUUUCUCUGAAAUGAUCACUUCUUACAUUUGUUUAAUAGAUCAUGAGCCCUUCAGGUACACAAAAAUUGUAGAGAUCACAUCUUCUACUCUCCUGACUGUUUGCAAGGAUGACAUUGUGACUCAAGGAUCCUGGGGUGCUGUGGAAUGUGUUGACUUCUGGGGUUGUGCGCACCGUAGAUUUUCAUUAGCAUGUCAUGUCAAAAGGAACCUCACGCUUCUAUUUACUGAGUGUGGGGCAGCUAAGCUGCUGGUUUGUGCUCACCAACCAUGGCUUUGUGGAUUUGCCUAGUUAAGUUUGUUCUGCGAGUGUUUGCUAUUUCCUCCCCUGCAUACUUAUUUUACCUGGCUGUGUGCCAGGCAAUCUACUUGCCCUCCAUACUGUGCUCGUGUCCAGUGCAGAUAAGCUUCAGGCUGACAAGGACCGUCACCUAAAUUCCAAUGAACUGCUGUAUGCAGGGCCUUUUGGGGGAGGAAUAAUUUUAUCUUUACUUUUAAUGGCAAGUGAAGGUUUGAAGCCAAUGAGACUGCUCAAGAAAAUGAGAGUCAUGAAACAAAGGCUCUACCAAUGGGAUAAGUAGAAUCCAUCACUGAUGAUUUCAUAUUUGAAAAAAGAUUGGCAAAAGAUACAACAAAUAAUAAAAUGGAUCUCCUUAACCCACUGAUUGGAAAGGCUUGGAAGGACAUGUCUGAACAUACUGGAUCCUAUAACUUGUAGAAUGUUACAAACUAGGCCAGCUAGAUGAGAACUGUCAAAGCAUUAAAUAAAAUAUGGCUCUUAAUCAUAUCCUAGGAUUGCGUGGAGACAGGAACCUUCCAUGGAAGUCCCAAGAGAGAAUAUUAGAAGAUGAUAAUUUAAGGAUUAUGAAAGUUCCUGAAAUUUGCCAAAAGAAUUAAGACAGGCCUAAUUGGGAACUCCCAGGAACCAGACAGAGCAAAUGAAAUAUUAGGUUGUAAUGAUUUCUUUCCAUUUCACAUCUAUUUGUUUCUUAUUCUCUCUGGGUUCCAAAUAUUGAAUUUAUGAAAGUGGAAGGGAAGAAAUGAGUGUGCACUAAAGGGAAGCAACUAGGGGUGAGGAAAAACAACCCCUUGCCUCACAACACACAGAGUCGGACAUGACUGAAGUGACUUAGCAGCCGCAGCAGCCUCACAACUGGGGAGACAGGAAGAAUGAAGAAAUUUGAGGCCAUUGCAUGGAGUAAAUGGAAUAACUACAAUGUAGUGUUGAGGAAAAAGAAUAUAGUGUUCUAUAAGUCACAAAUGGAAGGACAUGAGAAGGGAGAUUAAUUACAAUUCAAAUUAAUUUCAUUUAAUUAGUUGAAAAGAUCAGAUGAAUGGUCUUCAAACCUUUUCAAUAUUUCUGAGUAUUCCUUUCCUCUCUCCCUCUCUUCCACACCGCCCCCCAACACACACAGAUGUGCACAUGAUGCAAAUUACCCACUGUAAAUAAACCAAAAUGAAACUAAUACAUAUGUGUUAUUUCCCAUCUCAGCUAAGGAAAGAUACAGAAAAGAAGAACCUGCUUUGAAGAACAUCACUAGCUGUUAAUGCCCUGUUAGGAAGUGCACUAUGGCAUUGAGGUUAGGAAAACAAGCCUAUGAGCCAUGCAGAUCUGCAGUAGAGUCUCUGUCAUGCCACUUCCUAGCUGAACUGCCUACUCCUAACUCUUCAUUCCUUGACCUUGGUUUCUUUUACCACCUAUUUGCCAGGGUCAUUUGCUAAGAGCAAAUUAGAUGUAUGUGCAGUGUCCUUCACAGAGUAAGUGUUCAGUCAGUACUGGCUAAGUAUCAUACCCACUAUAUUCCUUGAGAGUGAUGGCCUGAUGUUUGAUAAACGUGAACUAUGGAAUCGUCACUCUGAAAGACCGAUCUUGUAAAACACACUGCCUCUAGGGAAGAGGAUGCCUGCUAACAAGCUUUUGACUUUGUUGGUUAGUACUGCUUUUACUUCAAAGCACUCAGAAUUGUUUAGACUUCCUUCAGAGGUGCAUGGGGUUGCAGAGAGUCAGACAGAACUUGGUGAAUGAACAACAACACAGAGGUUCAUGGACUUAGGCAGGAUCUAGAAUCUCUCAGUUAAUAUAACUAAUGAAAAGGAUUAAUAGCAUGUUGAGACAGUGACCUGUCAGAGUUGAAGAUGAACAUUUGUUUUUGAUCACCCUGUAUAUUCAGUUCACAACGAACAACUUUAUUCCUUUAAAGAAUCUUUCUGAAACUAGAUCAGCC
ensembl:lncRNA